GAUUUACAUUUGAGUGAGUGGCGAACUGGUGAGUAACACGUGGGAAACCUGCCCAGAAGCGGGGGAUAACACCUGGAAACAGAUGCUAAUACCGCAUAACAACUUGGACCGCAUGGUCCGAGUUUGAAAGAUGGCUUCGGCUAUCACUUUUGGAUGGUCCCGCGGCGUAUUAGCUAGAUGGUGGGGUAACGGCUCACCAUGGCAAUGAUACGUAGCCGACCUGAGAGGGUAAUCGGCCACAUUGGGACUGAGACACGGCCCAAACUCCUACGGGAGGCAGCAGUAGGGAAUCUUCCACAAUGGACGAAAGUCUGAUGGAGCAACGCCGCGUGAGUGAAGAAGGGUUUCGGCUCGUAAAACUCUGUUGUUAAAGAAGAACAUAUCUGAGAGUAACUGUUCAGGUAUUGACGGUAUUUAACCAGAAAGCCACGGCUAACUACGUGCCAGCAGCCGCGGUAAUACGUAGGUGGCAAGCGUUGUCCGGAUUUAUUGGGCGUAAAGCGAGCGCAGGCGGUUUUUUAAGUCUGAUGUGAAAGCCUUCGGCUCAACCGAAGAAGUGCAUCGGAAACUGGGAAACUUGAGUGCAGAAGAGGACAGUGGAACUCCAUGUGUAGCGGUGAAAUGCGUAGAUAUAUGGAAGAACACCAGUGGCGAAGGCGGCUGUCUGGUCUGUAACUGACGCUGAGGCUCGAAAGUAUGGGUAGCAAACAGGAUUAGAUACCCUGGUAGUCCAUACCGUAAACGAUGAAUGCUAAGUGUUGGAGGGUUUCCGCCCUUCAGUGCUGCAGCUAACGCAUUAAGCAUUCCGCCUGGGGAGUACGGCCGCAAGGCUGAAACUCAAAGGAAUUGACGGGGGCCCGCACAAGCGGUGGAGCAUGUGGUUUAAUUCGAAGCUACGCGAAGAACCUUACCAGGUCUUGACAUACUAUGCAAAUCUAAGAGAUUAGACGUUCCCUUCGGGGACAUGGAUACAGGUGGUGCAUGGUUGUCGUCAGCUCGUGUCGUGAGAUGUUGGGUUAAGUCCCGCAACGAGCGCAACCCUUAUUAUCAGUUGCCAGCAUUAAGUUGGGCACUCUGGUGAGACUGCCGGUGACAAACCGGAGGAAGGUGGGGAUGACGUCAAAUCAUCAUGCCCCUUAUGACCUGGGCUACACACGUGCUACAAUGGAUGGUACAACGAGUUGCGAACUCGCGAGAGUAAGCUAAUCUCUUAAAGCCAUUCUCAGUUCGGAUUGUAGGCUGCAACUCGCCUACAUGAAGUCGGAAUCGCUAGUAAUCGCGGAUCAGCAUGCCGCGGUGAAUACGUUCCCGGGCCUUGUACACACCGCCCGUCACACCAUGAGAGUUUGUAACACCCAAAGU
rnacentral:rRNA from 2 species